AUUGAACGCUGGCGGCAGGCCUAACACAUGCAAGUCGAGCGGAUGAAGGGAGCUUGCUCCUGGAUUCAGCGGCGGACGGGUGAGUAAUGCCUAGGAAUCUGCCUGGUAGUGGGGGAUAACGUCCGGAAACGGGCGCUAAUACCGCAUACGUCCUGAGGGAGAAAGUGGGGGAUCUUCGGACCUCACGCUAUCAGAUGAGCCUAGGUCGGAUUAGCUAGUUGGUGGGGUAAAGGCCUACCAAGGCGACGAUCCGUAACUGGUCUGAGAGGAUGAUCAGUCACACUGGAACUGAGACACGGUCCAGACUCCUACGAGAGGCAGCAGUGGGGAAUAUUGGACAGAGGGCGAGAGCCUGAUCCAGCCAUGCCGCGUGUGUGAAGAAGGUCUUCGGAUUGUAAAGCACGUUAAGUUGGGAGGAAGGGCAGUAAGUUAAUACCUUGCUGUUUUGACGUUACCAGCAGAAUAAGCACCGGCUAACUUCGUG
rnacentral:rRNA from 1 species